CCCCAAGGGCAGGAUUCCUGUCUUGGUACAUGUGGCCCUCAUGCACAUCUGGGGUGCAAGAAAUCACCUGUCCUGGAGAGCUGCUGAGACAAAGAGGAACGUAAGCUCUGAAAGAUUCACAUCAGGUUAAGCCUGUGCCAGAUUUUGACACUUACCCUAUCCUUGCCCCUGAGUCUAUCUCAGAAGUGCUAUUGUUGUAUGAAGGCCCAAUACUUUGAUUUAACACAAUUUUUUGGACAGUGAUGCACUUCUACGACAAGGAAAGGUGAAAAAACAGGUCUCAAAUUGCUGACUGCAGAAAUACAGCCUGAAAGUGUUGCUACCCCAACCCACAGAUGUCCUGCUGCCUUUCAUCAAGAUUCCCUGUGCUGUUAUAUCCUGUAAUCACAUUCCCCCAAUUUUUCCUGCCUGUAUUUUUGCUGCUUCUGCUGUGACCUGUGGCAAGAGGUUCCAAUCAGGAUCGAGACCCCACUGUGCCAGACACGACACAAAACCUUGACACAAGCAAACCAUUAAACUCUGCAAUUUCUACAUCUCUCUGCUGCUGCAGUACUCUGAAUUCCACCUGUGAAUUACACUGAAUUCCAUGUGUGUGAGAAGCAGUACAACUGGAAAGGGACAAUGAUUCCCAGGCAUCUCGUGGUACCUGUAAAUCUCCUGAGCCCUGGAUUAAAGGCAGCUCUGUGAACAAGAGGAAUGUGGAGGGAUUCUCCAGAAAGGAGCACAGCAAGGAGGUGUCAGAGCAAUGGAUGGCACACAAGCAUUUUCCUCCCAGCUCCUUUAAGACAACAUCCCCACUGAGAAGUGAUACACUCUAUCUAAUACUCAGCUCACUCAAGCUGUCACAGAGCCAGUGAAUUUGUUUGAGUUAUGUUGAUUCACACCAACACAGUAGCCAGUCCAUCAUACUUACUCAAA